rnacentral:rRNA from 1 species
UACGGGGGGGGCAAGCGUUGUUCGGAAUUACUGGGCGUAAAGGGCUCGUAGGCGGCCAACUAAGUCAGACGUGAAAUCCCUCGGCUUAACCGGGGAACUGCGUCUGAUACUGGAUGGCUUGAGGUUGGGAGAGGGAUGCGGAAUUCCAGGUGUAGCGGUGAAAUGCGUAGAUAUCUGGAGGAACACCUGAGGCGAAGGCGGGCUACUGGGCCGAUACUGACGCUGAUGCGCGAAAGCCAGGGGAGCGAACGGG